CCACAUUAGAGAGGGCAGGAAAAUCAGAUAAAUCUGCCGCUGAUGCUAUAUAAGACAAUUGAUUAACAUCAACAGGUGCCCGCAGAUCCAACACAACAUGCAGUCUCAUUCGGCGGCAGUGGUAUUCCUGACAGCUUCUUUAUUCAUGGGAAUCUUUGCUAAUGUUUCCAGAGAAACAUUACAGGAGUUUGUUAAGGUGCAUAACCAGAAAAGGAACGAUGCAGGAGGAGCAGAUAUGAAGGAAUUGAUUUGGAGUGACGAACUUGGAAGAUUCGCACAAAAUCACGCUGACAAAUGUAUUUUUGAAAAAAGUGAAAAUGAAACCAGAGUAACGGCAGCAUUUCAAAACGUAGGGGAAAAUAUUAA